GACGAACGCUGGCGGCGUGCCUAACACAUGCAAGUCGAGCGGGGUUGACUUCAGCACUGAGCAUUUUGGCAUAGGGCCCAGCGCAUAUGCAGAAACGACCUUGAUGUAAAAGAUAUCAAUAAGAGGUUUCUGCAUCACGCGUAUAUAGUGCCAACACAAAACCGAAGGGUAUGAGUUGCACAUGGGUGGAUACACAAAAAACUGAGGAGCUGAAAUGUUGAGUGCUGGAGGCAACCUAGCGGCGGACGGGUGAGUAACGCGUGAGCAAUCUGCCUCAUACAGGGGGAUAACAGGUGGAAACACUUGCUAAUACCGCAUAAGACCACAGCGCUGCAUGGCGCAGGGGUCAAAGGAGUAAGAUCCGGUAUGAGAUGAGCUCGCGUCCCAUUAGCUAGUUGGCGGGGUAACGGCCCACCAAGGCGACGAUGGGUAGCCGACCUGAGAGGGUGAUCGGCCACACUGGGA
rnacentral:rRNA from 1 species